rnacentral:rRNA from 1 species
UUCAAUGAAUAAAGCACCCUGAAUGCACACGAUUUCACAAGAUCUCAGAAGCUAAUCGGGAUUGAGCCUGCUUAGUACUUAGAUGGGAGGCUGCCUGCGAAUACUAGAUGUUAUAGGCU